rnacentral:rRNA from 1 species
CGCACGGCUGAGGAACACGUGGGAACCCGCCCCCCGGUGGGGGAUAACGCGACGAAAGUUGCGCUAAUCCCGCAUACGUCCUUCGGGGGAAAGCGCAGUGCGCGCCGGGGGAGAGGCCUGCGGCCAUCAGGUUGUUGGUGUGGUAACGGCGCACCAAGCCACUGACGGGUACCCGGUCUGAGAGGACGGCCGGGCAGACUGGGACUGCGACACGGCCCAGACUCCUACGGGAGGCAGCAGCAAGGAAUUUUCCCCAAUGGGCGCAAGCUGAGGGAGCAACGCCGCGUGGAGGACGACGGCCUUCGGGUUGUAAACUCCUUUCGGGUGGGACGACCGCGACGGUACCACCAGAAGCAGCCCCGGCUAACUCUGUGCCAGCAGCCGCGGUAAGACAGAGGGGGCAAGCGUUGUCCGGAGUUACUGGGCGUAAAGGGCGCGGAGGCGGUCUGCGGCGUCGGCGCUGAAAGCGCCCGCUUAACGGGGCGAAGCGUGCCGAUACGCGCAGACUUGAGGCGAGCAGAGGGUGGUGGAAUUCCGGGUGGAGCGGUGAAUGCGUAGAGAUCCGGAGGAACGCCAGUGGGAAGCCGGCCUCCUGGGCUCGUCCUGACGCUGCGGCGCGACCGCGUGGGGAGCAAACCGGAUUAGAUACCCGGGUAGUCCACGCCGUAAACGAUGCCAGCUCGGCGUGUGCGCCGGUCGUGCGCUGCGUGCCUUAGCUCACGCGAUAAGCUGGCCGCCUGGGGACUACGAGCGCAAGCUUAAAACUCAAAGGAAUUGACGGGGGCCCGCACAAGCAGCGGAGCGUGUGGUUUAAUUCGACGCAACCCGAAGAACCUUACCCAGACUGGACAUGACGGUGCAGACGGCGGAAACGUCGUCGCCUGCGAGGGC